CAGGGACCGAGCCUGCGUCUCUUGCAGAUUCUUUACCACUAGUGCCACCUGGGAUUUCACCAUUCAGAGACCUCAGAGUUCUUGGGUCCUGCUACCUCUGGGUGGGAGGUUAGAGGCAAGUUUCUGGAGCUCACUCUAACACACCCAGGGGCCCCACCCUGCCUGGAUGCCAGCCAGCACCAGUGCCAACAUCCCCCUGAGUCACUGCGCAGUGUGGGUGUGGUUUCCCGGUGACCCAGCCAAACAUCCGUCCCUGAGCUGAUGAAGCUGGAGCCGGGGCUGCAGCCCCGCCUUCCCCACCCUUGCCUGUGCUGCCCUGGGACCAGGCAAGUAAAAUGAUACAGGGCCCUGGGGAGCUCUGAAGCAGGUCAACAGGAGGAAGCACUUUUCCAGGACAAGUAUGUCCCAGGAGAAGACUCUUGAGGGUCCCUUGGACUUCAAGGAGAUCAAACCGGUCCAUCCUAAAGGAAAUCAAUCCUGAAUAUUCAUUAGAAGGGCUGAAGCUGAAGCUCCAAUCCUUUGGCCACCUGAUGCAAAGAGUCAGCUCGUUUGAAAAGACUCUGAUCCUGGGAAAGAUUGAGGGCAGGAGGAGAAGGUGGCAACAGAGGAUGAGAUGGUUGGAUGGCAUCACCGACGCAACGGACAUGAGUUUGAACAAGCUCCAGACUUGGUGAUGGACAGGGAGGCCUGGCGUGCUGUGGUCCGUGGGGUCCCAAAGAGUGGGACACGAUGGAGCGACUGAACAACGCCCCAGUGCAGGGCGUGUGGACCUGGUCAGUCCCCGGUUGGGAAGCUAAGAUCUCACACACUGUGUGACGUGGCCAAAAAAAAAG
ensembl:lncRNA